rnacentral:rRNA from 1 species
AGUGGCGCACGGGUGCGUAACGCGUAUGCAACCUACCUUCCACUGGGGGAUAGCCCGUCGAAAGACGGAUUAAUACCGCAUAUGACCACAGGAGGGCAUCCGAUUGUGGUAAAAGCUGAGGCGGUGGAAGAUGGGCAUGCGUGCCAUUAGCUAGUUGGCGGGGUAAAGGCCCACCAAGGCGACGAUGGCUAGGGGUUCUGAGAGGAUGGUCCCCCACACUGGUACUGAGACACGGACCAGACUCCUACGGGAGGCAGCAGUAGGGAAUAUUGGGCAAUGGCCGAGAGGCUGACCCAGCCAUGCCGCGUGCAGGAAGAAGGCCUUCUGGGUUGUAAACUGCUUUUAUCGGGGAAGAAAACGCCUUUGCGAAGGUAACUGACGGUACCCGAUGAAUAAGCACCGGCUAACUCCGUGCCAGCAGCCGCGGUAAUACGGAGGGUGCAAGCGUUGUCCGGAUUUAUUGGGUUUAAAGGGUGCGUAGGCGGCCCGUUAAGUCAGCGGUGAAAUCCCAGGGCUCAACCCUGGAACUGCCGUUGAUACUG